rnacentral:tRNA from 1 species
AAGUUUAGGUUAAACAAACCAAGAGCCUUCAAAGCCCUAAACAAGAGUCAAACACCCUCCUAAC